rnacentral:rRNA from 1 species
UACGUAGGUGGCAAGCGUUGUCCGGAUUUAUUGGGUUUAAAGGGUGCAUAGGCGGCCCUGUAAGUCAGUGCUGAAAUAUCCCGGCUUAACCGGGAGGGUGGCAUUGAUACUGCAGGGCUUGAGUAAAGUUGAGGUUGGCGGAAUUGACGGUGUAGCGGUGAAAUGCUUAGAUAUCGUCAAGAACACCGAUAGUGAAGACAGCUAACUAAGCUUUAACUGACGCUGAGGCACGAAAGUGUGGGGAUCAAACAGG